rnacentral:rRNA from 1 species
AUUAACAAAAUAUAAUAAAUAUACUAUCACGAAAGGUGGUGAGCUAAACAGAUAUAUUUACUUUAUAAUACGUAGUAUAGUAUUUUAAUAAUAUAUGUUUAGGGGUGAUAGGCUUUCCAAACUGCCUUAUAACUUGAUUCAUAUGAAAAGUAUUUAGUACAAAAACAGACUUAAAAAGUUAAGCUUUUAAGUGGCUAUUAAAAAUAUUUUAAACGCUUAAUAUAGUAUAAUAGCUAGUUAACAUAAAAUUAAAUAUUACGUAUAUGUUUUUAUAGAAAAUAAUAUGAUAGCGUAGUUUCAUUAUAACGUUUGACAAUGUUAAUAUUAGUACUAUUUUAAAUAUACUAAAGGAACUCGGCAAAAUGAUCGCUCAACUGUUUAUCAAAAACAUAGCUAUAUGAUUUAAUAUAUAGUUAUUUCUGCUCCAUGAUUAUUAAAUAGCCGCAGUACUCUGACUGUGCAAAGGUAGCAUAAUCAGUUGGCUUUUAAUUAAAGUCUGGUAUGAAUGAAAAUAUGGGUGGUAACUGUCUUAGUAUAUUAAUUUUAAUUUAUUAAGCAAGUGCAAAUACUUGCAAGUUUCAAAAAGACGAGAAGACCCUAGAAACUUGAAAUAGUUUUUGUUGGGGCGACAGAAUUACAUUUAACUAAUUUUUAUAAUAUGACAUUUAAUUGAAAGAAUAAGUUACUCUAGGGAUAACAGCAUAAUUUUAAUAGUUUGUGACCUCGAUGUUGGACUAGGUAUUAUACCCUUAAGGCAAGGGUAUAAUAUGCUCUGUUCGAGCAGUUACACCUACAU